rnacentral:tRNA from 1 species
GUGAUGCAAGGCGUAGCAUCGCUGCCCUUAAUGCAGAAGGUGCGGGUUCGAAUCCCGCC